UUCAAAUGUCUACUCAGGUCCCUACAGUCUCUGGGGCCUGGGGGGUAAUAUCUCAUCCACUGUCAUAGCUUUAACAUCUCUACUCUCUCCUUCAACUAUGUACACUGCAUCCGCAUAGGAGACAGCCCUGAUCCUCGCUACUUUGACCUCCUUCACCCUAACAAGGCACUCAGUGAACUCUGGAACCUGAUUCCCAUCACAAUAGCAGCACCGUGCAUCCUCUGACUCUUCAACACUGAUAUUCGGUGUCAAACUUUUUACAUUUAUGCAAUUGUAGUGGUUUUUAUACACACGCUUAUCUCAUAUAUCCCAGCAUUUACAUGAGAUCCCCAUAAUACCACUCCUGGUCACUCUGACUCUACCUUUCCCAAUUCAUCAUCUUCGUAACCGCAAAUUGGUCUCUCGAAUAAACAUAAUUCAUGAAAUGUAUUCAUACCAGAAACUGCUGUUCAUUUCCAACUCCAGGUUGUUUAUUUACAUUCGUCUUUAUUACAUUCAUCCAUUUAUUCUUAACAACUUAACUCGUGACAACAGAAUCUAACAUUGCACAACCUGUCACAACACCGGGUCAGAUUCAAGUCCUCUCGUUGUAGAAACAAGUGUGUCCCCCAGUAGGAUGCUCCAACUGUAGGUCACAGUUGCUAGCUAUCUGACCGUUCAGAAUCAUAACAUACACUUUCCGGUCUCAUCGAUGCAUGCGCUUCAUUUUCAUGACGUUGUCAGCCAACCGGUCUAUGAGAUAAUUAAGUAUAAGGGGAAUGAUUGGUUGUUACUUACCCCCUCCAUAACAAAAACAAAACUGUACUUGAAGAAAUCAGAUCUUGAACUAUUUUACAGCAAGCUAUGGUGGUAUCCGGAGGCCCUGCGUGUUGUGGUGUGUUUACCUUCUCCGUUUGGCCGCAGGCUUGGUUUGCUAUCGAGCAGCUCCACCGUUUGGCAUGGAUGUUAAUUGCAGCCUUCUGGUCUAUCGGAUCUCUACCGAAUAUUCCGAUGGUCUUUUAUCGUUGCUGAGAGAAGGAGAGAGAUCGUGCUGAAUGAAGGAACUCAAAACAAACCGACAGACAGACAGGGUAGGGUGGAAGUGGAGGAGGAUAAUGGCUUGUUCUGUCUUGGUGAGCACUGUUCACUCGUUUCAAUUCAAAUAUAUUUAAAAGUUCAGUGUUCACAUGUAUGAAACAUAUUUAUCAACAUUAGUAACUACAAAAAAAGUUUAAAAAAAAAAUCACAUUACGUUUGUGUUUUUUUUUUACAAAAAUAAAAUAACUUUAAUGUGCAUAUAAUUACUUAGCGCGUUUAGCCUAAAUAUUGUAGGCUACAACUAAUGUGAAAAUUGUUAGAACAUUAUUUGAUUCAAAUCUUUAUCAAAGAUCAAAACGUAUUUCUAUUUGGAUAUUAUCACUUGGUGCCACGUUUCUAUUUAAUUGGAUCUUUGAGUUUUUCUUUUGCUGUUGAUAGUAGAAAAUACACUGAGUGCACAAAUCAUUAAGACCAUGCAACUCAAUAUUAGGAAGGUGUUGUUAAUGUUUUGUACACUCAGUGUAUAUCAUGAUGGAUUUGUUCCCGUAGAAUAUUUGUUAUUCAUUUAUUCAUUCAUUCAUGUCAUCUCUAGUGUGUUGGUGUCAUUUCAGCUACAGACAGGACACAAAGUUAGUGUUGGAAAGGGCUGUCAGACAAGACAAAACACCAGUGGCUAUUCACUCAUUCUCUGAGAUACUAAUGACCAGUACAGCUAUUAAAAUGAAUGUUUGUCAUGAUAAAUAAUGGUAGAAACCAUUAACCACACAUGAUAACUACUUUUUUGGGGAUCAUUGAAUUUAAUCAACUUUAUUGAUCUCCACAGUAGAAAUUGGAUGAUAUUAUAAUGACAGGACAGGUGUAACGUGUGGCCUGGGACUGAUGCUCUCUGAUUGUUCUCAAAGUCAAUGAGAUGAGGCUUCAAUCCAAACUGCAGUGUAAGAGUGUUGGGUUAGUUUCGUUGCUCAAAACCCUCUCAACUCUCCCCUCUCCUGUUUCUGUUCUCUCUCUCUCUGUGUGUGUGUGUGUGUGUGUGUGUGUGUUAGUAUCAGUGUGUCCAGCAUGCAGCAGGGUGAUGCCCUAAUAACACCCUCCAUCAUCAAUAAGUUACGAGGAGGCCAAUACACACACACAGAACCAUGCUUGAGCCUCUCACUGUCGAAGAGGAAAAGGAGGAGAGCGGGUGUCUUGAUUCCUCGACAGACAUACUUAUAAAGAUUUAAUAACAUCCCUCUCUAAAACACAGGAAUUCCUCCUACCUUUCCCUCUAUCCCCCUCUGUCCCUCUCACUGUGUGUGUGUGUGUGUGUGUGUGUCAUAGCCUGACUCUGGGGUGCGAUUUUCUUCUUGCCUGGGGAAGGCAAGGAGAGUGGUCCCAAGACCCUAAACUCCCAG
rnacentral:lncRNA from 13 species